AUGCCAGGAUACCCUCCAGAGCCUACUUCUGUCUUUCUGACACUGUCACCUCUAAGUCUUCCAUUGCUCACUCUGGAUUCCUUGAUCUUCCUCCUAUUGAAUAGGCACCUCCUACUUGAGGGUCUUUGUAUUGACCACCUGCUCUGUUGGAGGCAGCUGCAGUCAACCAUGCUCUCCCCAGACACCCUUCUGAUUGUACUUGCACCUGCUUCAAGCCUUUGCCUAAGUCUUGCAGUCUUAAGAAAGCCCACCCAAGUACCUAUUGAAAACCACAAGCUACCCACCCACUUCCUUAUUCCUAGUAUUGCUGACCCUAUUGUAUUUUUUUGGUAGCACUGGUCGCCAUGAAAUAUUCCGUGUUUCUUAUUUCUUAUGGUUACAGUUUAUUGCCUAUCUUCCAUCUGUUUCCCCCUAGAGAAAUUCCAAGAACACAAGGAUUUAUGUCUAUUUGUUUUGUUUAUGUAUUCAUUUGUAGAAUGAAUAAAUGGAUAAUACUCCUAACCGGAUUUAUUUUUUGGCUUCACCCAUGGCAUGUGGAUGUUCUCAGGCCAGGGACUAAACUCACCACAGCAGUGGCAAUGCUGGAUCCUUAACCAACGGAGACACCAGGGACCUCCCCUGACCAUCUUUUAAAAAUAGAUUUAUUUAUUUUUUAAUUAAAGUAUAGUUGAUUUACAAUGUUGUGCCAAUUUCUGCUUUAUAGCAAAGUGACCUAGUCAUCUGUAUUUAUUUUUUUCUUUUUCUUAUAUUAUCUUCCAUCAUGGUCUAUCCCAAGAGAUUGGAUAUAGUUUCCUGUGCUGUACAGUAAGACCUCGUGGUUUAUCCAUUCUAAAUAUAAUAGUUUACAUCUACUAGCCCCAACUCCCUGUCCAUCCCACUCCCUCUCCAUUCUCCCUUGGCAACUACCAGUCUGAGAACCACGAGUUCUCUAUGCCUGACCAGAUAUUUUUCCAGGUGAUAUUUUCAAGGGAAACUUCAGAGAGAAGCAGUGAGCCUGGCAUGGAAUAGUUUUUAAAUGGAGGAAAAAGUAAGUGAAUUAUAGAAGGAGAAAUGGUGCAAUAGAAUUUAAUGAACAGAACUAAAACUGAGAUUACAUAUGUUCCAGAGCCUGGUUUUAAACCUCCAGUUUCUAAACAUGUUAACUACUCAGCUU
rnacentral:lncRNA from 1 species